UACGUAGGGUGCAAGCGUUGUCCGGAAUUAUUGGGCGUAAAGAGCUCGUAGGCGGUCUGUCGCGUCGGCUGUGAAAACUCGGGGCUCAACCCCGAGCCUGCAGUCGAUACGGGCAGACUAGAGUGCUGUAGGGGAGACUGGAAUUCCUGGUGUAGCGGUGAAAUGCGCAGAUAUCAGGAGGAACACCGGUGGCGAAGGCGGGUCUCUGGACAGUUCCUGACACUGAGACACGAAGGCCAGGGGAGCAAACGGG
rnacentral:rRNA from 1 species